AUUGAACGCUGGCGGCAGGCCUAACACAUGCAAGUCGAGCGGGGUUUUCGGACCUAGCGGCGGACGGGUGAGUAAUGCGUAGGAAGCUGCCCGAUAGAGGGGGAUACCAGUUGGAAACGACUGUUAAUACCGCAUAAUGUCUACGGACCAAAGUGUGGGACCUUCGGGCCACAUACUAUCGGAUGCGCCUCCGUGGGAUUAGCUAGUUGGUGAGGUAAUGGCUCACCAAGGCGACGAUCUCUAGCUGGUUUGAGAGGAUGAUCAGCCACACUGGAACUGAGACACGGUCCAGACUCCUACGGGAGGCAGCAGUGGGGAAUAUUGGACAAUGGGCGCAAGCCUGAUCCAGCCAUGCCGCGUGUGUAAAGAAGGCCUUCGGGUUGUAAAGCACUUUCAGCGAGGAGGAAGGGUGGUGUGUUAAUAGCACAUCAUUUUGACGUUACUCGCAGAAUAAGCACCGGCUAACUCUGUGCCAGCAGCCGCUGUAACAC
rnacentral:rRNA from 1 species